GAUUUCUGGCUUGAAACAUUCUGCCGGCCACGGUUUCGUGUGUUAGUGCUUGAUAUUCUGGCCAUCCUUCCAAUCGCUGUUCACCUUUCUUCAUUGAUUGGUGAGCGGUAUUGGAUCUUUUACUUUGAAAAAAUUAGAGUGUUUCAAGCGGGCUUUAUGCUAUGAAUACAUUAGCAUGGAAUAAUAAUUUAGGACUUCGGUUCUAUUUUGUUGGUUUCUAGGACUGAAGUAAUGAUUGAUAGGGAUAGUUGGGGGUGCUAGUAUUCAGCGGCCAGAGGUGAAAUUCUCGGAUUCGCUGAAGACUAACUUAUGCGAAAGCAUU
rnacentral:rRNA from 1 species